AGAUUAAACUGAAGAGUUUGAUCAUGGCUCAGAUUGAACGCUGGCGGUAGGCUUAACACAUGCAAGUCGUGCGAGAAAGUAUCUUCGGAUAUGAGUAGAGCGGCGGACGGGUGAGUAACGCGUAGGAAUCUACCUAGUAGAAGGGGAUAGCCCGGGGAAACUCGGAUUAAUACCGUAUACCUCCUUCGGGAGAAAGAGGGCCUCUCUUUGAAGCUUUCGCUAUUAGAUGAGCCUGCGUAAGAUUAGCUUGUUGGUGAGGUAAAGGCUCACCAAGGCG
rnacentral:rRNA from 1 species